CCUUGAUGAAAAAAAGAAUCUGUGCCUGCCGCUGGAGAAACAGCACGAUGAGGAAAGGAAGAAGGAAGACGAGAGGUCCGAGACAGACACAGCUUUGGAUUAGGGCCUCAGGGAGUUUGGGGGCCUAUCCUGAGACCCCCCACCCACCCUGUGUGCCUCAGUUCUUUCCCUCAGUUGCACCAAUAAAGUUUCUGCAUUUGGAAUAGG